AAUGACUUUUUGACCGUCGCAACAACAGUCCUUGGAACUCUGUUUGGGAUGUACCUAUUGCAGUAAACCCUAAGAGUUUUGUUAUGCUAGUUUUCACAACUACCUGGAAUCAAUAUCUAGAGUCAUUUUACUCUUAUGGAAUUCAAUUUCUUGAUUAUGAACCAAUGCUGCAGACCAGUUUGGAUAUCCAUUUGCUUUCUGCAUGUUAAUGAAGACUUUAAGAAGAUUAUCCCUCAACAAUACGGGAAAGUGGGAUAUGUCCAUUUGUAGGUAGGGAUUCAACUUUUUUGGUCCAUGUAUGUACGAGCUGGAGCUACUACUUUCGCCAUGUUUCAUAUACGUCCAUAUGCUCGAUCAUUGAUGGAGGUCUUCAUCAGGGUCUUGAUCGUCUCUCCUGGACAUUCCACUUACACUUCUAUUGUACUUGUUUUGAUAUAAAGAAAAAAUGUUUUCUAA